rnacentral:rRNA from 1 species
GAUGAACGCUGGCGGCGUGCCUAAUACAUGCAAGUCGAGCGAACAGACGAGGAGCUUGCUCCUCUGACGUUAGCGGCGGACGGGUGAGUAACACGUGGAUAACCUACCUAUAAGACUGGGAUAACUUCGGGAAACCGGAGCUAAUACCGGAUAAUAUAUUGAACCGCAUGGUUCAAUAGUGAAAGACGGUUUUGCUGUCACUUAUAGAUGGAUCCGCGCCGCAUUAGCUAGUUGGUAAGGUAACGGCUUACCAAGGCGACGAUGCGUAGCCGACCUGAGAGGGGGCACGGGGAAAAGGGGACUGAGAGAAGGAGCAGACACGUAAGGGAGGCAAGAGUCGGAGAUAUGACACAAUGGGGGUGAGUAGAAGGAAGCAACGGAGGGAGCGGGAUGACGUGUGUCGGGUUGUAAACAGCUGGCGCCGGGGAAGAAGCGGGAGUGACGGUGAUGGAUAAAGAAGCAACGGCUAACUACGUG